AACGAACGCUGGCGGCAGGCUUAACACAUGCAAGUCGAACGCCCCGCAAGGGGAUUGGCAGACGGGUGAGUACCGCGUGGGAACAUACCCUUUUCUACGGAAUAGCUCUGGGAAACUGGAAUUAAUACCGUAUACGCCCUACGGGGGAAAGAUUUAUCGGGGAAGGAUUGGCCCGCGUUGGAUUAGCUAGUUGGUGGGGUAAAGGCCUACCAAGGCGACGAUCCAUAGCUGGUCUGAGAGGAUGAUCAGCCACAUUGGGACUGAGACACGGCCCAAACUCCUACGGGAGGCAGCAGUGGGGAAUAUUGGACAAUGGGCGCAAGCCUGAUCCAGCCAUGCCGCGUGAGUGAUGAAGGCCUUAGGGUUGUAAAGCUCUUUCACCGAUGAAGAUAAUGACGGUAGUCGGAGAAGAAGCCCCGGCUAACUUCGUG
rnacentral:rRNA from 1 species